rnacentral:rRNA from 1 species
CAUAACAUCCUGCUCUUGAACGAGUGGAGAUCAAAAUAAACGAAAGCGUAAGACCUGGCGCUUGAUGAGGGGCCCGCGUCCGAUUAGCUAGUUGGUGAGGUAACGGCUCACCAAGGCAACGAUCGGUAGCCGGCCUGAGAGGGCGGACGGCCACACUGGGACUGAGACACGGCCCAGACUCCUACGGGAGGCAGCAGUGGGGAAUUGUUCACAAUGGGCGCAAGCCUGAUGACGCAACGCCGCGUGGAGGAUGAAGGUCUUC